CACGGCUGCAAAUAAUUUCCCUGGCACUAUGAAUACUGAGCUUACAAAGAGGCUAAGGGAAAUUAUCAAAGAGAUUCUGACGAGUAUGUCGGACAGAGAUGAGAUCCACUUCCAGAUAGCUGCCAAGCAAAGAGAGGAUGUACUUGAAAUGCAAAAACACCAAGACCUUCAACAUACAAUUAUGCUGGACAAUAUCCUCAACUUGAAAGCUUCUGUCUACGACUUCCAGAAAUCUUAUGCAAAUCAGGAAAAAUAUAAUGAUAUGAUUCUUUCAGUUCUCCAAAACAAAGAAGCAAGAUCUGAAAAAUAGAUCAAGGAAAAUAGAGAGGACAUUGCUCAGACACAAAGCCAACUGAACGAGCUUGUCCAAGGUGUUAAUCGACUGUCUGCCGAUAUUCAAACCCUUGAUGCUGACAUAAAGGGGGAGAAUAAAGGGAAAGGAGUUCAGGGAGGACAAGGCAGAGGCAGAGGAGGUCAUGGAUCUCAAGAAAGG
rnacentral:lncRNA from 1 species